rnacentral:rRNA from 1 species
CUUGUUGGUGGGGUAAUGGCCUACCAAGGCGACGACGGGUAGCCGGCCUGAGAGGGUGACCGGCCACACUGGGACUGAGACACGGCCCAGACUCCUACGGGAGGCAGCAGUGGGGAAUAUUGCACAAUGGGCGAAAGCCUGAUGCAGCGACGCCGCGUGAGGGAUGACGGCCUUCGGGUUGUAAACCUCUUUCGCCAGGGACGAAGCGCAAGUGACGGUACCUGGAUAAGAAGCACCGGCUAACUACGUGCCAGCAGCCGCGGUAAUACGUAGGGUGCGAGCGUUGUCCGGAUUUAUUGGGCGUAAAGAGCUCGUAGGCGGUUUGUCGCGUCGGCCGUGAAAUCUCCACGCUUAACGUGGAGCGUGCGGUCGAUACGGGCAGACUUGAGUUCGGUAGGGGAGACUGGAAUUCCUGGUGUAGCGGUGAAAUGCGCAGAUAUCAGGAGGAACACCGGUGGCGAAGGCGGGUCUCUGGGCCGAUACUGACGCUGAGGAGCGAAAGCGUGGGGAGCGAACAGGAUUAGAUACCCUGGUAGUCCACGCUGUAAACGUUGGGCGCUAGG